UGGGAGUACGUUCGCAAGAAUGAAACUCAAAGGAAUGACGGGGGCCCGCACAACGUGGACAUUGGUUUAAUUCGAUGCAAAGCAAGAACCUUACCAGGCUUGACAUGCGCGAAUCUCUUGAAAGAGAGGUGCCUUCGGAACGCGACAAGUGUGCAUGCUGUCGUCACUCGUGCCGUAAGGUGUUGGUUAAGUCCGCAACGAGCGCACCCUCGGUUAUCCCAUCAUGAUUGAACCCUGACAGACUGCCGUGAUAACCGAGAAGUAGUACGUCAAUCAUCAUGCCCUUAUGCCUGGGCACACACGUCUACAAUGCCGGGACAAAGGUCGCGAUCCGCGAGGUGAGCUAACUCCAAAAACCCGUCCUCAUUCGGAUGCAGCUGCAACUCGCUGCAUGAAGCCGGAAUCGUAGUAAUCGCCGGCACCAACGCGUGAAUCCGUUCCCGGCCUUACACACCGCCGUCACACUAGGACUGGCCAUGCCCGAAUCGUUACCUACCGCAAGAGGGAUCCGAACCAGGCUAGUGACUGUAGAAUCUAACAAGUACCGUACUGGAAGGUGCGCUGA
rnacentral:rRNA from 11 species